rnacentral:SRP_RNA from 1 species
GGCCGGCCGCUGCGUAACACAUUCUCGUGAACCUCGUCAGAUCCGGAAGGAAGCAGCGAUAAGCGAAGCGGUGUGUGUCGUGGUUCGACCCCGGCCA